rnacentral:rRNA from 1 species
UGGGGAAUUUUGGACAAUGGGCGCAAGCCUGAUCCAGCCAUGCCGCGUGCGGGAAGAAGGCCUUCGGGUUGUAAACCGCUUUUGUCAGGGAAGAAAUCUUCUGAGUUAAUACCUCGGGAGGAUGACGGUACCUGAAGAAUAAGCACCGGCUAACUACGUGCCAGCAGCCGCGGUAAUACGUAGGGUGCAAGCGUUAAUCGGAAUUACUGGGCGUAAAGCGUGCGCAGGCGGUUUUGUAAGACAGAGGUGAAAUCCCCGGGCUCAACCUGGGAACUGCCUUUGUGACUGCAAGGCUUGAGUGCGGCAGAGGGGGAUGGAAUUCCGCGUGUAGCAGUGAAAUGCGUAGAUAUGCGGAGGAACACCGAUGGCGAAGGCAAUCCCCUGGGCCUGCACUGACGCUCAUGCACGAAAGCGUGGGGAGCAAACAGGAUUAGAUACCCCUGGUAGUCCACGCCCUAAACGAUGUCAACUGGUUGUUGGGAAGGUUCCUUCUCAGUAACGUAGCUAACGCGUGAAGUUGACCGCCUGGGGAGUACGGCCGCAAGGUUGAAACUCAAAUGAAUUGAC